rnacentral:rRNA from 1 species
UUGUUAGUUUUAGUGGGCAUUCGGUGGAUGCCUUGGCACUCAGAGCUGAUGAAGGACGUGGCGGUCUGCGAUAUGCCUUAGGGAGUUGACGAGCGAGCGUUGAUCUAAGGAUUUCCGAAUGGGGGAACCUAGCUGGUGUUAUGGCCAGUUACCACUGCCUGAAUGAAAUAGGGUUGUGGGGGGAACGCGGGGAAGUGAAACAUCUCAGUACCCGUAGGAAAAGAUAUUCCGUGAGUAGUGGCGAGCGAAAGCGGAGGAGGCUAAACCUUGUGCGUGUGAUAGGCGGCGGCCGUUGCGCAUGGGGUGUUGUGGGGCAUGAUCGUCUACCUUCUGCCGGGGGUGGGCAUGGCGUGUUGUUGGUGGUUGAACCUCUUGGGAUGGGGGACCGUAGUGCGUGAUAGUCGCGUAGGCCAGCUGGUAGGGCGCCGUGUGGGUUGUGUUCCCGAGUAGUGCGGGACUCGUGAAAUCUCGUGUGAAUCUGCCAGGACCACCUGGUAAGCCUAAAUACUACUGAGUGACCGAUAGUGCAUAGUACCGUGAGGGAAUGGUGAAAAGUACCCCGGGAGGGGAGUGAAAUAGUACCUGAAACCGUGUGCUUGUAAGCCGUCAGAGCCUUGUGGGGUGAUGGCGUGCCUUUUGAAGAAUGAGCCUGCGAGUCAGUGGCACGUGGCGUGCUUAACCCGUGUGGGGUAUGCGUAGCGAAAGCGAGUCUGAAAUAUGGCGUGUGUCGCGUGUUCUGGACCCGAAGCGGGGUGAUCUACCCAUGGCCAGGUUGAAGCAAGGGUAAGACUUUGUGGAGGACCGAACCCACCAGGGUUGAAAACCUGGGGGAUGAGCUGUGGGUAGGGGUGAAAGGCCAAUCAAACUCCGUGAUAGCUGGUUCUCCCCGAAAUGCAUUUAGGUGCAGCGUUGUGUGGUUCCUGUUGGAGGUAGAGCUACUGGAUGGCCGAUGGGCCCUGUGGGUUACUGACGUCAGCCAAACUCCGAAUGCCAAUAGGGUAGAGCACGGCAGUGAGACUGCGGGGGAUAAGCUUCGUAGUCGAGAGGGAAACAGCCCAGAUCAUCAGCUAAGGCCCCUAAGUGUGCGCUAAGUGGGAAAGGAUGUGGAGUCGCGGUGACAACCAGGAGGUUGGCUUAGAAGCAGCCACCCUUGAAAGAGUGCGUAAUAGCUCACUGGUCAAGUGAUUUCGCGCCGACAAUGUAGCGGGGCUUAAGCGUACCGCCGAAGCUGUGGCAACAACACGUAUAGCUGGCGUCAUUUAAUGAUUGUUGGUGUGUUGUUGGGUAGGGGAGCGUCCUGCAUGAGGUGAAGCCCGGGGGUAACCUCUGGUGGAUUGUGUGGGAGUGAGAAUGCAGGCAUGAGUAGCGAAUCUGCGGUGAGAAUCCGCAGCGCCGAUUGACUAAGGGUUCCAGGGCCAGGUUUAUCCGCCCUGGGUUAGUCGGGUCCUAAGGCGAGGCCGACAGGCGUAGUCGAUGGAUAACCAGUUGAUAUUCUGGUACCGCCUAGCAACCGUCCAAUACCGAGAUCAUCAUGCUAACCAAUUUUGCCGGCCUAUUUCCGUGCCUUUCGGGGUAUGGUUUGCGGCUGGUCUUGGGACCCGGUGGUGGAGGUAAGCGUAUUAACAGGGGUGACGCAGAAAGGUAGCUGCAGUGGGCUGAUGGUUUAGCCUAUUUAAGGUUGUGGCCCGUCUUUCAGGUAAAUCCGGGAGACACUAGGGUGAGAACUGAUGAGGGACGCUUUUAGAGUGGACUUGUGGUGAUCCUAAGCUGCCGAGAAAAGCCUCGACGCGAGGGGGCAAGGCGCCCGUACCCUAAACCGACUCAGGUGGUCAGGUAGAGUAUACCGAGGCGUUCGAGUGAAUCAUGGUUAAGGAACUCGGCAAAAUUCCUCCGUAACUUCGGGAUAAGGAGGACCCCGUGGUUUCCCAACGCCGUGCGUGUUGGUGGGGCCGUGGGGUCGCAGAGAAUAGUUAAGCCCCAGUAAACGGCGGUGGUAACUAUAACCAUCCUAAGGUAGCGAAAUUCCUUGUCGGGUAAGUUCCGACCUGCACGAAUGGCGUAACGACUUCUCCGCUGUCUCGACCGUGAACUCGGCGAAAUUGCAGUACGAGUAAAGAUGCUCGUUUCGCGCAGAAGGACGGAAAGACCCCGGGACCUUUACUAUAGCUUGGUAUUGGUGUUCGCUUGUGCUUGUGUAGGAUAGGUGGGAGACUGUGAAGCCGCGGCGCCAGCCGUGGUGGAGUCGUCGUUGAAAUACCAUUCUGGUUCAAGCGGUCACCUUAACCUAGACCCGUGAUCCGGGUUGGGGACAGUGCCUGGUGGGUAGUUUAACUGGGGCGGUUGCCUCCUAAAAUGUAACGGAGGCGCUCAAAGGUUCCCUCAGCCUGGUUGGUAAUCAGGUGGCGAGUGCAAGUGUACAAGGGAGCUUGACUGUGAGACCGACGGGUCGAGCAGGUGCGAAAGCAGGAACUAGUGAUCCGGCCAUGGCACGUGGGUGCGUGGUCGCUCAACGGAUAAAAGGUACCCCGGGGAUAACAGGCUGAUCUUGCCCAAGAGUCCAUAUCGACGGCAUGGUUUGGCACCUCGAUGUCGGCUCGUCG